rnacentral:rRNA from 1 species
GGGUUGUGAGGUUAAGCGACUAAGCGUACACGGUGGAUGCCCUGGCAGUCAGAGGCGAUGAAGGNNUCGUCACACUAUCAUUAACUGAAUCCAUAGGUUAAUGAGGCGAACCGGGGGAACUGAAACAUCUAAGUACCCCGAGGAAAAGAAAUCAACCGAGAUUCCCCCAGUAGCGGCGAGCGAACGGGGAGGAGCCCAGAGCCUGAAUCAGCAUGUGUGUUAGUGGAAGCGUCUGGAAAGGCGCGCGAUACAGGGUGACAGCCCCGUACACAAAAGCGCAUGUGCUGUGAGCUCGAUGAGUAGGGCGGGACACGUGGUAUCCUGUCUGAAUAUGGGGGGACCAUCCUCCAAGGCUAAAUACUCCUGACUGACCGAUAGUGAACCAGUACCGUGAGGGAAAGGCGAAAAGAACCCCGGCGAGGGGAGUGAAAAAGAACCUGAAACCGUGUACGUACAAGCAGUGGGAGCNNGUGACUGCGUACCUUUUGUAUAAUGGGUCAGCGACUUAUAUUCUGUAGCAAGGUUAACCGAAUAGGGGAGCCGGAGGGAAACCGAGUCUUAAUUGGGCGUUAAGUUGCAGGGUAUAGACCCGAAACCCGGUGAUCUAGCCAUGGGCAGGUUGAAGGUUGGGUAACACUAACUGGAGGACCGAACCGACUAAUGUUGAAAAAUUAGCGGAUGACCUGUGGCUGGGGGUGAAAGGCCAAUCAAACCGGGAGAUAGCUGGUUCUCCCCGAAAGCUAUUUAGGUAGCGCCUCGUGAAUUCAUCUCCGGGGGUAGAGCACUGUUUCGGCUAGGGGGCCAUCCCGGCUUACCAACCCGAUGCAAACUGCGAAUACCGGAGAAUGUUAUCACGGGAGACACACGGCGGGUGCUAACGUCCGUCGUGAAGAGGGAAACAACCCAGACCGCCAGCUAAGGUCCCAAAGUCAUGGUUAAGUGGGAAACGAUGUGGGAAGGCCCAGACAGCCAGGAUGUUGGCUUAGAAGCAGCCAUCAUUUAAAGAAAGCGUAAUAGCUCACUGGUCGAGUCGGCCUGCGCGGAAGAUGUAACGGGGCUAAACCAUGCACCGAAGCUGCGGCAGCGANNGUUGGGUAGGGGAGCGUUCUGUAAGCCUGCGAAGGUGGCCUGUGAGGGUUGCUGGAGGUAUCAGAAGUGCGAAUGCUGACAUAAGUAACGAUAAAGCGGGUGAAAAGCCCGCUCGCCGGAAGACCAAGGGUUCCUGUCCAACGUUAAUCGGGGCAGGGUGAGUCGACCCCUAAGGCGAGGCCGAAAGGCGUAGUCGAUGGGAAACGGGUUAAUAUUCCCGUACUUGGUGUUACUGCGAAGGGGGGACGGAGAAGGCUAUGUUGGCCGGGCGACGGUUGUCCCGGUUUAAGCGUGUAGGUGUGUGUUCCAGGUAAAUCCGGUUCACUUUAACACUGAGGCGUGAUGACGAGGCACUACGGUGCUGAAGCAACAAAUGCCCUGCUUCCAGGAAAAGCCUCUAAGCAUCAGGUAACAUCAAAUCGUACCCCAAACCGACACAGGUGGUCAGGUAGAGAAUACCAAGGCGCUUGAGAGAACUCGGGUGAAGGAACUAGGCAAAAUGGUGCCGUAACUUCGGGAGAAGGCACGCUGACACGUAGGUGAAGUGAUUUACUCAUGGAGCUGAAGUCAGUCGAAGAUACCAGCUGGCUGCAACUGUUUAUUAAAAACACAGCACUGUGCAAACACGAAAGUGGACGUAUACGGUGUGACGCCUGCCCGGUGCCGGAAGGUUAAUUGAUGGGGUCAGCGCAAGCGAAGCUCCUGAUCGAAGCCCCGGUAAACGGCGGCCGUAACUAUAACGGUCCUAAGGUAGCGAAAUUCCUUGUCGGGUAAGUUCCGACCUGCACGAAUGGCGUAAUGAUGGCCAGGCUGUCUCCACCCGAGACUCAGUGAAAUUGAACUCGCUGUGAAGAUGCAGUGUACCCGCGGCAAGACGGAAAGACCCCGUGAACCUUUACUAUAGCUUGACACUGAACAUUGAGCCUUGAUGUGUAGGAUAGGUGGGAGGCUUUGAAGCGUGGACGCCAGUCUGCGUGGAGCCGACCUUGAAAUACCACCCUUUAAUGUUUGAUGUUCUAACGUGGACCCGUAAUCCGGGUUGCGGACAGUGUCUGGUGGGUAGUUUGACUGGGGCGGUCUCCUCCUAAAGAGUAACGGAGGAGCACGAAGGUUGGCUAAUCCUGGUCGGACAUCAGGAGGUUAGUGCAAUGGCAUAAGCCAGCUUGACUGCGAGCGUGACGGCGCGAGCAGGUGCGAAAGCAGGUCAUAGUGAUCCGGUGGUUCUGAAUGGAAGGGCCAUCGCUCAACGGAUAAAAGGUACUCCGGGGAUAACAGGCUGAUACCGCCCAAGAGUUCAUAUCGACGGCGGUGUUUGGCACCUCGAUGUCGGCUCAUCACAUCCUGGGGCUGAAGUAGGUCCCAAGGGUAUGGCUGUUCGCCAUUUAAAGUGGUACGCGAGCUGGGUUUAGAACGUCGUGAGACAGUUCGGUCCCUAUCUGCCGUGGGCGCUGGAGAACUGAGGGGGGCUGCUCCUAGUACGAGAGGACCGGAGUGGACGCAUCACUGGUGUUCGGGUUGUCAUGCCAAUGGCACUGCCCGGUAGCUAAAUGCGGAAGAGAUAAGUGCUGAAAGCAUCUAAGCACGAAACUUGCCCCGAGAUGAGUUCUCCCUGAGACUU